rnacentral:rRNA from 1 species
GAUGAACGCUAGCGGCAGGCUUAACACAUGCAAGUCGAGGGGUAACAGUAGAAAAGCUUGCUUUUCUGAUGACGACCGGCGCACGGGUGCGUAACGCGUAUACAACCUACCUUUUAGCGGGGAAUAGCCCAGGGAAACUUGGAUUAAUGCCCCAUAGUAUAUAGACUUCUCCUGAAGUUUUAUAUUUAAACAUUUUAUGGCUAUUAGAUGGGUAUGCGUCCUAUUAGUUAGUUGGUAAGGUAACGGCUUACCAAGGCAGCGAUAGGUAGGGGUCCUGAGAGGGAGAUCCCCCACACUGGUACUGAGACACGGACCAGACUCCUACGGGAGGCAGCAGUGAGGAAUAUUGGGCAAUGGGCGAGAGCCUGAUCCAGCCAUGCCGCGUGCAGGAAGACUGCCCUAUGGGUUGUAAACUGCUUUUACAGAGGAAGAACCACCCCCACGUGUGGGGGUUUGACGGUACUCUGCGAAUAAGGAUCGGCUAACUCCGUG